rnacentral:lncRNA from 1 species
CUGAGGUAGGUAAGUGCAUUAGCUUCCUUAAUUCCCACAAAACCCUCUUAUUUUCUCCAGAAAGGCCAAGGCUGACCCUCAGAAGAUAUGACAACUCCACAGAGCUACCUGUGCUUAGUGCUGGAGCAAACGUGGCAUGGAACCGCAUCUCUGGGAGGAGAAAGUGGUGACCACCAGUCUGGAGGGCUUCCUGGGCAGUGCCCUUUCAGCCUCGGCGCAGGAGAAGAGCCACUGGACCACGUGCAUACAGCCUCUGGAUUUCCUGUGCCUGCAAACCCCAGGGACACCUUCAUGGGCCAUGAAAUCAUGUCCCAUAGCUGCUUGGAUUGAAUAGUAAGUGACUGGGCCCGAGGGAGCUGCCACAUUUCUUUCUUCCAAUUCUCUCUUACCUUCUAAUUAUUUUUCUAGUGGUUCCUUGAUGUAAUAAAGGCUUUUCUCACAUACACUCUCUUCUUGGGUUUUCUUCUUUCCAAGUUAACACACAUAGGGAUUUCCAGGGGAAGUUUUGAAAACUUGGCUGUCUGCUGUGCGCAGGAGAAAACAGUGGUUAACUGACAGGCUGAGUGAAGCACAGGGAUAGCACCCCGUGCCAGGCCACCUGCAUACUUUUCAUCCUUAGAAUGGAGAAUGAACCAGGAAGCAGACCCCCGUCUUGUGGGCACUGUGCACCCAGCUGGCUGUAGAAGUUCAAGAGGCUCAGCCAAUGCCACAAACCCUGGCGGAGAGCCACAAGGACUAAAGGGGAGGGGA